rnacentral:rRNA from 1 species
GAUGAACGCUGGCGGCGUGCCUAAUACAUGCAAGUCGAGCGAACGGACGAGAAGCUUGUUUCUCUGAUGUUAGCGGCGGACGGGUGAGUAACACGUGGAUAACCUACCCAUAAGACUGGGAUAACUUCGGGAAACCGGAGCUAAUACCGGAUAAUAUUUUGAACCGCAUGGUUCAAAAGUGAAAGACGGUCUUGCUGUCACUUAUAGAUGGAUCCGCGCUGCAUUAGCUAGUUGGUAAGGUAACGGCUUACCAAGGCAACGAUGCAUAGCCGACCUGAGAGGGUGAUCGGCCACACUGGAACUGAGACACGGUCCAGACUCCUACGGGAGGCAGCAGUAGGGAAUCUUCCGCAAUGGGCGAAAGCCUGACGGAGCAACGCCGCGUGAGUGAUGAAGGUCUUCGGAUCGUAAAACUCUGUUAUUGGGGAAGAACAUAUGUGUAAGUAACUGUGCACAUCUUGACGGUACCUAAUCAGAAAGCCACGGCUAACUACGUG